rnacentral:rRNA from 1 species
ACGAGCGAAAGCUUAAAACUCAAAAGACUUGACGGUGUUCCAACCUACCUAGAGGAGCCUGUUCCAUAAUCGACAACCCACGAUAAACCCAACCCCCCCUCGAACUAUCAGCCUAUAUACCGCCGUCGCCAGCCUACCUUUUAAAAGAGCCCAAGUAGGCCUAAUAGUUUACACUAAAAAGUCAGGUCAAGGUGUAGCUAAUGGGGUGGAGGUAAUGGGCUACAUUUUCUAUAAUAGAAUAAAACAAAUUAUUAUAUGAAAUAAAUAUAUGAAGGCGGAUUUAGAAGUAAAUUAAACAAGAAUAUUUAAUUUAAUCA